AUUUAUAUAGUUUAUAAAAACCUUACAUUUUCAUUGUAAAAAUAAAGAAAUAUUAUCUUUUAUAAAUU
rnacentral:tRNA from 1 species